UACGGAGGGUGCAAGCGUUAUCCGGAUUCACUGGGUUUAAAGGGUGCGUAGGAGGGCAGGUAAGUCAGUGGUGAAAUCCCCGAGCUUAACUUGGGAACUGCCGUUGAUACUAUCUGUCUUGAAUACCGUGGAGGUGAGCGGAAUAUGUCAUGUAGCGGUGAAAUGCUUAGAUAUGACAUAGAACACCAAUUGCGAAGGCAGCUCGCUACACGAAUAUUGACUCUGAGGCACGAAAGCGUGGAUCAAACAGG
rnacentral:rRNA from 1 species